GAUGAACGCUGGCGGCGUGCCUAAUACAUGCAAGUCGAGCGGACGGACGAGAAGCUUGCUUCUCUGAUGUUAGCGGCGGAGGGGUGAGUGACACGUGGAUAACCUACCUAUAAGACUGGGAUAACUUCGGGACACCGGAGCUAAUACCGGAUAAUAUUUUGAACCGCAGGGUGCAAUAGUGAAAGACGGUCUUGCGGUCACGUAUAGAGGGAUCCGCGCUGCAUUAGCUAGUUGGUAAGGUAACGGCUUACCAAGGCAACGAUGCAUAGCCGACCUGAGAGGGUGAUCGGCCCCCCUGGAACUUAGCCGCGGUCCAGACUCCUGCGGGAGGCAGCAGUAGGGAAUCUUCCGCAAUGGGCGAAAGCCUGACGGAGCAACGCCGCGUGAGUGAUGAAGGUCUUCGGAUCGUAAAGCUCUGUUAUUAGGGAAGAACAUAUGUGUAAGUAACUGUGCACAUCUUGACGGUACCUAAUCAGAAAGCCACGGCUAACUACGUG
rnacentral:rRNA from 1 species